rnacentral:snoRNA from 1 species
CUGCACAGUGCUAACCCCGGGCUUGUCGGAUUAACUUCCUGAAGAAGGAAGCCCCAAUGCCUGUGCUAGAUCCAGCAUGCCAUUCAGUGUUGCAGGUCAUGACGAAUCUUGUGAUUGGUCUGUGUCAAAGCAAUGGAUACAUAU